UCUGUAUUUGUAUCUUUAUGUGGCGCUGUGGCCGCUGCUGCUGUUGUUGUUGUUGCUGCUGCUGCUAUUGUAUCGCUUUUGUAUCUUUUAGCGCUGUUUUGAGUUAAGCAAUUGAUGGAUAUGGUUUAUUUAUAACGCUUGGCGACCGAAACCGAACCGAACUGAACUGAACUGAGCCGAACCUCAUCAUCCUCUCCAUCGCAUCGGCGGCAACCUCAUCAUCGCCAUCGGAAUUCCGACGACGCCGAGCAGCUCGCACAAUGAGUGCGGACGUGUAUCUGAGUAUCUGCAAGAUACUCGUACUCAUACCCGUACUCACUCGCUCGCUGCCUGCGUUCGAUAAACAAGACCCUAUUUUGUUUGUCGAUUAAUUAUGCUGCCCCCCAAGAAAUGAUUGAGCACGUCUAAAAAUAAGUCGGAUAUCAGGGAGAAAUCCCAUAAAUUUUGGGUUACCCGACGCAAUUACAACAAAAGUGGAUGCCACAUGCCCACGCUUCAAAAGCGCAACAACAAGAGCGAUAAAUAAAAACAACGAUCGACAACAAACAAACAACGAACAACAGCAACAACAAAAGCAACGACAACAACGUGAAAAGUGCGUUGUACAUAAACGAAAUCGAAACGAAACGAAUAAUAAAUGAGAGGAAGAA